rnacentral:lncRNA from 1 species
UUUUUUCUGUUUAUUAAAUUACUAGAAAUAACCAGACAGCUUAUAUAUCACUAGAAAUAGCAUAUUACAGGCAAGAAUGACUAAUGACUAUAUAAUUCUAAAAAAAAACAAUAUAUGUAGAUUUGGGUGACAAAUUAAUCUGUCUAACUUUGACUGUAAUAAUUAAUCAUAUAAUUGGCUCACAGCAUUAUAGGAGAUCCAUGUGCUGAAUUACAUACAAAUUCAUACUCUGCUACACAAAUAAUGUUUGCUCUUUUACAGAACAAAAGCAACUGACAAAACUAUGUGCCAAAAGCACCACAAAUAGUUGCUUGAUGCUUAAUGAUUGUUAUAAGAAGUGUGUGAUAAUAAGACAAAGAAGUUCAUGAUGAUUUUGGUAGAACAUAGAAAAAUCUAAUAUGGAAGUGAUGGAUUUUAUAAUUGAAACAAGCAGAAACAAUGAAGAGAAAAAUCACAAUAAGAGCUCUUAUAAUAUUUUUAUUUUAAACGGUCUUAUAAAAACAAUUUAUGAUUGAGAUGAAAGAUACAUUUUUCUAUAAACUAUAUUCAAAUUUUUCUCAAUACACUUGAAUUUAGUGUGUGGAUAUAAAUAGUUGAUGACUAAAUGAACAAGUUCUAGUAUCAUAUUAGAUUUUUAGAGAGCAAACAAUUAUUUUGGUCUUUUGAAAUUGCAAACACAUCACUUUUGUUAAUAAUAGUGUAAAAGUUGUUCUAUGCACAAAUAUUUAAUCUAAAAAUAUUUAUUAUAAUAAAAAUUAGAUUUAAAUAUGUCUUGUCUCUGUAAAUAAAUUACCUUUUUAUUUUAGUAUCAAUAAAUUUUUUUGUUUGGAUUUAGUCUAUGUACCAUCACAUAAUUAUAAAUAAAUGUUACAAAAAAAAAAUUUGACAAACAAUCGUGACACGUGGUCUAAUAAGGGUUUAAAGGUUUUUAGAAAACUCGUCUUCUUCUUUGUCAUAAAACCAUGAAACUCUUCUCUUCUCAACUAUAUCCAUUAACGUCUCUCUACUUAUUUCCUUAGCACAAAUACACAAUCGACUUCAAAAAUGGGUCUUCUAGUUGGAGUCUCACAAGAAUUCUCGAUAGAUGAGGGAUUAUAUUAAUACCAACGCUCCAACAUGUGACUUUAAAACUCAGUCAUGCCAUUCACUCCAGUAAUAUCAUCAGUGUUCUUUAAUGUUUUUUUUUAUUUUUUUUUAUUUUGGAAUGAUAUGAGAAAAGUUUGACAAUAAAGAAAAAAAUACUAGUAAGUUUUUUUAAAAAGAAAAUACUAUAUUGGAAUCAUCAUUAUGUAUUAUGUUGUCUAUGUUUGGUUUGGUUAACAUGUAAGAUUGAUAUUUAUUGGGUAUAAAUGUAAAAUUAUUUUACACUUUUUAAAUAUGUUUAUCUAACUCAUACUUUAUCAAUUUUAACCACGCGUUGUCUCAUAUAUGUUAAAAUCAGAUUAGUCAAAUACUCUAUUUUUAGAGUUAUUUUUUUCUUGAAUAAAUAUUUGUUAAAAAAUAUAAUUCCAAAAGAAAGUUAGAUGAAUCGAAACACAAUGUAUAAAAUGAUAGGGAGAAUCAAACUAGUCUAAAGCACAUUCCAUACAAUAUUUACCUAUUGUAUAAGUAUAGUGUAUCACAAAAUAAAAAUAUUUAGUGUAUCACAAAAUAAAAAUAUUUAGUGUAUCACAAAAUAAAAAUAUUUAGUGUAUCACAAAAUAAAAAUAUUUAGUGUAUCACAAAAUAAAAAUAUUUAGUGUAUCACAAAAUAAAAAUAUUUAGUGUAUCACAAAAUAAAAAUAUUUAGUGUAUCACAAAAUAAAAAUAUUUAGUGUAUCACAAAAUAAAAAUAUUUAGUGUAUCACAAAAUAAAAAUAUUUAGUGUAUCACAAAAUAAAAAUAUUUAGUGUAUCAAUAAAAAUUUCAGAUUUAAAAUCAAAUAGGAAAUAAGCGCCGUUAGAAAAAUAAAUAUGAAACGCGGUUAUUCAUAUUUUUUGACGGAUAUUGAGAAGAUAAACGUCGUUAUGCUUUGGUUGUUGAUUUAAUUAAGUAUUAAAAUAUGCUUGCUUGAUUGUGACAUAAAAAAUGCUUGCUGAGGCUAAGGUCAUUUUUUUCUACAUUUUCUUCCUUUUACCAUGUGGAAAUGAUCUUUAGUUUGCUUUGUUAUUAAGUUAGACUACAGUUCAUAUAUAAAAUAAAAGUUAUAAUUUUUUUUUUAAUAUAUUUGAAAGUUGAUUGUAAACCAUGAGCUCACACAUACAUUGCACUACUACAAUCUAGUCAUAUCCAAAAUGAAGAGAAACAAAAUACUAAUAUAUCAAUUGAUAAUUAAUUUUUGCCAUUUAAAUACUUUUCUUUAAUUGGGAAUCUAAUUUUCUUUACUUGAAACAUUAUCAUAUAUUGUUUUUAAUUUAUUUAAAUAUAUAUACGAAUGCAUGCUAGCUAAAAGUAACACAGUAUCUCACAAACAUAGCAAUCACAAAAGUGGAUGAAUAGCACUUGUCCAAGGUGAACAAAGCCUAACUCUUACUGUUGAGUGAAAAAUUAUUUGUUUUUUUGUUCAUGAGUGCUGAGUACAUAUCAAUUAACAGCAAUACUAGAUUUUUUUUUUUAAUCUUUAGGUUAGCAUUUGCUUUCUUUUUGUUUAAAAAAACUUUUAUUUUGGUUUGAUUUUUAAAUUAGACCCUGUACAUGAAAUGGUUUCCUAUUCAAUUUUUCCCUUAGACAGCUGUGAACUGUUGUAAAAUCAUCAUUUACUAAUCUUAGGUGACUAAUGAUCUAUAAAGUGGAACUAGCUUUUCUUUUUUUGACUAAAAAGUGAAAUUAAAUUUGUUUAGUAAAAACAUGUAAUUAAUUCCUGUUGCCUAAUUAAACGUGAUUGUUAUAAUAUACUUCUAUUAACAUUUUUAUAUCUGCUGUGUUGCACUGUUGCUUUAUUCAAUAGGGAUAGAUCUAAUUAAAUGCAUGAAUAUUUUUUCUGUUUAUUAAAUUACUAGAAAUAACCAGACAGCUUAUAUAUCACUAGAAAUAGCAUAUUACAGGCAAGAAUGACUAAUGACUAUAUAAUUCUAAAAAAAAACAAUAUAUGUAGAUUUGGGUGACAAAUUAAUCUGUCUAACUUUGACUGUAAUAAUUAAUCAUAUAAUUGGCUCACAGCAUUAUAGGAGAUCCAUGUGCUGAAUUACAUACAAAUUCAUACUCUGCUACACAAAUAAUGUUUGCUCUUUUACAGAACAAAAGCAACUGACAAAACUAUGUGCCAAAAGCACCACAAAUAGUUGCUUGAUGCUUAAUGAUUGUUAUAAGAAGUGUGUGAUAAUAAGACAAAGAAGUUCAUGAUGAUUUUGGUAGAACAUAGAAAAAUCUAAUAUGGAAGUGAUGGAUUUUAUAAUUGAAACAAGCAGAAACAAUGAAGAGAAAAAUCACAAUAAGAGCUCUUAUAAUAUUUUUAUUUUAAACGGUCUUAUAAAAACAAUUUAUGAUUGAGAUGAAAGAUACAUUUUUCUAUAAACUAUAUUCAAAUUUUUCUCAAUACACUUGAAUUUAGUGUGUGGAUAUAAAUAGUUGAUGACUAAAUGAACAAGUUCUAGUAUCAUAUUAGAUUUUUAGAGAGCAAACAAUUAUUUUGGUCUUUUGAAAUUGCAAACACAUCACUUUUGUUAAUAAUAGUGUAAAAGUUGUUCUAUGCACAAAUAUUUAAUCUAAAAAUAUUUAUUAUAAUAAAAAUUAGAUUUAAAUAUGUCUUGUCUCUGUAAAUAAAUUACCUUUUUAUUUUAGUAUCAAUAAAUUUUUUUGUUUGGAUUUAGUCUAUGUACCAUCACAUAAUUAUAAAUAAAUGUUACAAAAAAAAAAUUUGACAAACAAUCGUGACACGUGGUCUAAUAAGGGUUUAAAGGUUUUUAGAAAACUCGUCUUCUUCUUUGUCAUAAAACCAUGAAACUCUUCUCUUCUCAACUAUAUCCAUUAACGUCUCUCUACUUAUUUCCUUAGCACAAAUACACAAUCGACUUCAAAAAUGGGUCUUCUAGUUGGAGUCUCA